rnacentral:lncRNA from 1 species
AAAGCUGGAGAAGGCUGUAGGCACCGGGGCUGCUGGCCCCCUGUGAGUGCAGUGCUGAGUCUGGGGUUCCUCAUCCUUGUCCUUUGCUUCCUGGGUCUCAGUGCUUCCAGGGGAGCAAUGACGCAGCUGUCGGCCAAUGACGAGGAUCUGGAGGAGAGGUCGGAGAGUGAGGGGAGCGACUACUCCCCAACAAGAAGAAGAAGAAGAAGCUCAAGGACAAGAAGGAGAAAAAAGCCAAGCGGAGAAAGAAGGACGAAGAUGAGGAGGACAAUGAAGACGGGUGCUUAAAGGAGCCCAAGUCCUCGGGGCAGCUCAUGGCUGAGUGGGGCCUGGACGACGUGGACUACCUGUUCUCAGAGGAGGACUACCACACACUGACCAACUACAAGGCCUUCAGCCAGUUCCUCCGUGGGUGGGCGG